AGCUCUCCCACCCCAGCCCGGCCCCUGUCCCAGCCUCGCCUUGGUCUGGGAACUGCUCAGCCAGUGUGACCAGACAGACCCCACCUGGACGCCAGGCCCUGCCCAUGUCUGAGCCACCGUCUUGUUUCUGUCUCAGUCCCAGACUCAGCAGCAACCUCGGGCCCAGGCACUGCCUCCCAGGUGGUGAAACUGAAGGCCCAGAGCAGUGAUGGGACUUGGCCCGGGUCCCACUGAAACUUCCCUGCCCGGCCUCCAUAAGAUCUGCUCACCGCCUGUUCAGUGUCCUCUCUGGGAAGUUAUGCAGCUGGAAGGGGGCCCCUGGGAUGAAAUAAUUGCAGAGAAAACAGAUGGGUUGCUGAGGAUUCCUCCCUUCCCCUGUGUGCCUGAGAAUCCUCCCGCUUUGCCCCAGGGCCAGGAGAGGGCGCUGUUCCACAUGGAGUUAGUUCCCACCCCCUGGGCAGUCUGGUCUCAAUCACUCCUUCCCCAGCCUCAGAUAAGCCCCUAUGCACACCUUUCUCACCGGAGGAAUACUCAAGGCCCCUUUCAUGUUCCAUAGGGUCCUGCUAGCAGAGUGGACACCGACUGUUCCCAGGAAGGGCGCCUUCUGUGCAAGACAUUCGCCUUGCCUUCGUGGAGGAGAAAAAGGGGAAAAGGGCCCACAGGAAUGGAGCCUUUUCUCUCCCUGUCCCUGCCUUUCUUUCAGAGGUCCAGAAGGGAGGAGAGGGUGCCAGUCUUGUGACUCUCUGAUGCCUGGGGUUUGGCACACUUCAAGCUGGCUCUGACUUUCCCCAAUCCCCGCUCCCUCUCCGUGCCUCCCCACAACUGACCACUCUCCCUCAGUCCUAACCUUCAAGCUUGCUUUCUGUCUUCACCCUCAAGAAUACAAUAGGCUCCCACUCUUGCCAGACAAGCCCCUCCCUUGGCUGACUCGCCUCUCUCCCAAGCCUGCGUCUUCUGGAUACCCUUACCUGAAGCCCCCCACCCCCACCCCCAGUCUGGGCAUGCAGGGCCCUGCAAUGUCACAGGCUGCCCCCCUGCUUCCCUCAGUUUCCCUUUGGCGAAGUCACUCAUUUUCUUUUACUGCAGCCCUCUAAGUCUGGGUGUACUACAUGGUUAGCCCAAAGGGCUGCUCUCCAACUAGAUUUCCCUCCUUAUCCCAUCUGUCCUCCUGCCUUCUGGGUCUCCCUCCCCACCCCUCCGCCUCCCACCUCCACCCUACCACCAGCUCUGCACAGACUUUUCCUCUCCAGGAAGCCCACCCAGCUAGCCCAAGCUGGGGGAGCUGCCCUCCCUCCCCACCGUUGUUCUUUUCAGCCUACAAACCUAGUGUCGGUUUCCUGGAUUCCUUCCCUGCAGGGAUGCAAACCCACAGGCUUCCUGGGUGCUCCAUGGACACUUAGGGAACCAGCGGGCAGAUAAAUGACACAUAACCAGAUUCCCUACAGCACUGCCAGACUCCCUAGGCCCAGUGGACUUUUCUCUCUCCUUUGCCAUCAGGAGGAGUGUUCACACUGAGCAUUCCAUAAACUGCCUCCAACAGCUCCUGUUCAGCGCUCAGUGGGUCCAGCUUUCCCAGGCCUGGUCCCUGGGUCAGAGCAGAAACAAGCAGACCUCAUGUGGGAAAAGCAGGAAGGAGGGACCUGAGUCCCCGUUCUAGACCCAAGAGGGAGAGAACUUCCUCUGCAGCUCAAUGUGGGAGGAACCCAAGGCAGUUGCGUGCGGACUACCUCCUUUCCGGAAGGUUCCUCCAGCCUAGUCCUUCAGCUUCUAUCCACCCCACCUCCCAGACCCCAGCUAAGUGAGAGUGGCUCCACAGCCUGCCCCAGGGAAGCCUCACUCUGCAGGUAACUCUUCCAGGAUCUGGUCUGCCCCAAAGGACCAUAGUCCAGUGGUCAGAAGCGAGGGCUCACCAGAAGUUUCCACUUCUGAAUAGGAGAAGUAGAGUCCAGGGUGUUGGCUCUGCCCACACUGGGGUGGGGUUGGGUGGGGUCCAUUUAUUUAAUUUAGUCUCAAUGCUCAAAGAGAGGGGAGACUUAGAUAGUUACCCAGCUGUCACUAAGUGCCUCCAAGGGACACCAAAUACAGGAAGAACCAGCCUGAAGAAGAGACAUUCAGACAGAAGGAGGUGACCAAGGUGCACCGGAAGCUUCCAACCUGUCCUUAAUAAGGGGUUUCAGAGGAUGUGGCUGUUGUCCCCUGGAAAUGAGUUCAGUGACUGGGUCUAGACUCAAUCUGCUCGGCUCCUUAAAUAGAUGUAAAUAAAGCAAGUGUCAGAGACGUUC